rnacentral:rRNA from 1 species
AGUGAACGCUGGCGACAUGCCUUACACAUGCAAGUCGAACGGCAGCACGGGUGCUUUCACCUGGUGUCGAUUGGCGAACGGGUGAGUAAUACAUCGGGACAUGUCCUGUAGUGGGGGAUUGCCUGCCCGAAGCGGGAGUAAUACUACAUACGAUCUUCGUAUGCAAUCGGGGGCCCUUGGGGCCUAGGGCUUUAGGGUUGUGCUAUGCCGGAUUAGCUAGUCGGUUGGGUAAAGGCCUAGCAAGGCGACGAGCCGUAGCGGGUCGGAGAGGCAGACCCGCCACACUGGGACUGAGACACGGCCCAGACUACUACGGGAGGCAGCAGUGGGGAAUUUUGGACAAUGGGCGAAAGCCUGAUCCAGCAAUGCCGCGUGUGUGAUGAAGGCCUUCGGGUUGUAAAGCACUUUUGUCCGGAAAGAAAUGCUUGGCCAUAAUACGCUCGGGGGCUGACGGUACCGGACGAAUAAGCACCGGCUAACUACGUG